GGCUGGAGCAGGACCAGGUAUGUGAAGGGAGGAAAGUGAGGGAUCAAAAAAAUAAGUUCCUAGUGCUCCUCCCAGCAGACAACAUAGGAAUGGGACUCUUACCAGGGGAACAUUGAACUGGAGCGAGUUCACAGUAAGGCUAUGAUUUAAGAUGCAAACAGAUGUUGGCCAGUGAUGCGGCUGCAGAAGAUGAACAGGUGAUGAAUCAGGAGAGCUUUGCAUAGUACAAAGGUGCCAUCUUCAGACAAUGAGAUGGAGUCAUGUAGCUCAGUGAGAUUUGCAAAACAGGGAAUGUUUAUACCACGAUGUUUCCUAACCUUUAUGUUCAGCCUCUUCAAAACUACCAUUUCUUGCUG